rnacentral:rRNA from 1 species
ACGAACGCUGGCGGCAUGCCUAAUACAUGCAAGUCGAACGACUCUCCGUGAAUGACGUGCUUGCACUGAUUCAAACAAUUGUAAGCUGAGUGGCGAACUGGGUGAGUAACACGUGGGUAACUUGCCCAGAAGCAGGGGAUAACACUUGGGAAACAGGUGCUAAUACCGUAUAACAACAGAAACCGCAUGGUUUCUGUUUGAAAGGUGGUUUCGGCUAUCACUUCUGGAUGGACCCGCGGCGUAUUAGUUAGUUGGUGAGGUAAAGGCCCACCAAGACAAUGAUACGUAGCCACCUGAGAGGGUAAUCGGCCACAUUGGA